AAGCACAAAACACACGCUGUUGAUUCUGAUGGAAAGAUCAGCUCCAAUGCUGAUGUUGACUUUUAUGUAGAUGAUGACAUGAUUCAUGUUAUAGAAUCUAAACCAGCUAAGCGGUAUGGGGAUUAUUUUCUGCGUCAAAUUGUCAAGCUUGAAGGCGUGAUGACCGAUGUCGACAGGGUAAAGUUGGAGUGAGUUCUGGACUGGAGCUACAGCCAUUUUUGUGCGGCAGAACAUUUUAAUUAGCUUGGCUUCCACCUCCCAGAAACUUGAGGAAAAGAAUGAGAUGAAAAAUGGACUGAUUUUCUUUUCUUAGAGGAACUGAGUUCCAUCAUUUGUGGCUAUUAUUUUUU